UUUUUUUAACUUUUGACC
rnacentral:rRNA from 1 species